rnacentral:tRNA from 1 species
GGGCCCGUAGCUUAGCCUGGUGGAGCGCCCGGCUGAUAACCGGGAGGUCGCGGGUUCGAAUCCCGCCGGGCCCA